UGCAGUCGCACGAGAAUCUUUAGCUUGCUAAAGAUAGUAAAGUGGCGCACGGGUGAGUAACGCGUGGGUAAUCUACCUUCGAAUUGGGGAUAACAUUGCGAAAGUGAUGCUAAUACCGAAUAAUAUCAUAAAUACCUCGGCAUUUAUGAUCAAAGGUGGCCUCUACAUGUAAGCUACUGUUUGAAGAUGAGCCCGCGUACCAUUAGCUUGUUGGUAGGGUAAUGGCCUACCAAGGCUACGAUGGUUAGCUGGUCUGAGAGGAUGAUCAGCCACACUGGAACUGACACACGGUCCAGACUCCUACGGGAGGCAGCAGUGAGGAAUCUUGCGCAAUGGGGGAAACCCUGACGCAGCAACACCGCGUGAGUGAUGAAGGCUUUCGGGUCGUAAAACUCUGUCAAGUGGGAAGAAAUUGUAUCGUGCCAAUACCACGUUAUAUUGACGGUACCACUGAAGGAAGCACCGGCUAACUCCGUGCCAGCAGCCGCGGUAAUACG
rnacentral:rRNA from 1 species